AACGAACGCUGGCGGCAUGCCUAACACAUGCAAGUCGAACGAGACCUUCGGGUCUAGUGGCGCACGGGUGCGUAACGCGUGGGAACCUGCCCUUAGGUUCGGAAUAACUCCCCGAAAGGGGUGCUAAUACCGGAUAAUGUCUUCGGACCAAAGAUUUAUCGCCUUUGGAUGGGCCCGCGUUGGAUUAGCUAGUUGGUAGUGUAAAAGCCUACCAAGGCGACGAUCCAUAGCUGGUCUGAGAGGAUGGUCCGCCACACUGGGGCUGGGACACGGCCCAGACUCCUGCGGGAGGCAGGAGUGGGGGAUAUUGGAAAAUGGGCGGAAGCCUGAACCAGCAAUGGCGGGUGAGUGAUUAAGGCCUUAGGGUUGUAAAGCUCUUUUACCCGGGAUGAUAAUGACAGUACCGGGAGAAUAAGCUCCGGCUAACUCCGUG
rnacentral:rRNA from 1 species